rnacentral:hammerhead_ribozyme from 1 species
AUCCAUCUGACGAAUCUCAAAUAAGACGAAACGCGCAUUCUGGAU